GACGAACGCUGGCGGCGUGCCUAAUACGUGCAAGUUGAGCGCUGAAGGUUGGUACUUGUACCAACUGGAUGAGCAGCGAACGGGUGAGUAACGCGUGGGGAAUCUGCCUUUGAGCGGGGGACAACAUUUGGAAACGAAUGCUAAUACCGCAUAAAAACUUUAAACACAAGUUUUAAGUUUGAAAGAUGCAAUUGCAUCACUCAAAGAUGAUCCCGCGUUGUAUUAGCUAGUUGGUGAGGUAAAGGCUCACCAAGGCGAUGAUACAUAGCCGACCUGAGAGGGUGAUCGGCCACAUUGGGACUGAGACACGGCCCAAACUCCUACGGGAGGCAGCAGUAGGGAAUCUUCGGCAAUGGACGAAAGUCUGAACGAGCAACGCCGCGUGAGUGAAGAAGGGUUUCGGAUCGUAAAACUCUGUUGGUAGAGAAGAACGUUGGUGAGAGUGGAAAGCUCAUCAAGUGACGGUAACUACCCAGAAAGGGACGGCUAACUACGUG
rnacentral:rRNA from 1 species